CGACCCAACCACGUGACUGCCCUGCGGAGGAUUAUUAGCUGCUAUUGAGCGGUGGAUUCAUUCAAAUGACUGCUGCUUUGCUCUGGGAUAUGGAAGACAGGGCACUCUUCGUGAUAUCUGCAACAUAAUCGCUCUGCUGUUUUUGGAAUCCCAGCAUUGUGACCCUCCUUUCAUCUCCAUCUUUUUUAUUUUGUGCAAAUUAUAGUUUGUCUUUUCCAUUGUAUUGCCAAGAACGGAAGCUAUAUCCCAUGUUUUUAAAAUUGCAGUUCUCCUGACCACUCUGUACAUAAGCCACUUCAGUUUAUAUUAAAUAAAAUUAGCAAUGUUGCAA